UACGGGGGGAGCAAGCGUUGUUCGGAUUUACUGGGCGUAAAGGGCGCGUAGGCGGCCUGGCAAGUGGAAGGUGAAAUCCCUCGGCUUAACCGAGGAACUGCCCUCCAAACUGCUUGGCUUGAGUCCGGGAGAGGUGAGUGGAAUUCCCAGUGUAGCGGUGAAAUGCGUAGAUAUUGGGAGGAACACCAGUGGCGAAGGCGGCUCACUGGACCGGAACUGACGCUGAGGCGCGAAAGCGUGGGGAGCAAACGGG
rnacentral:rRNA from 1 species